AGAGUUUGAUCCUGGCUCAGGACGAACGCUGGCGGCGUGCCUAAUACAUGCAAGUCGAGCGGACCGACGGGAGCUUGCUCCCUUAGGUCAGCGGCGGACGGGUGAGUAACACGUGGGUAACCUGCCUGUAAGACUGGGAUAACUCCGGGAAACCGGGGCUAAUACCGGAUGCUUGAUUGAACCGCAUGGUUCAAUCAUAAAAGGUGGCUUUUAGCUACCACUUGCAGAUGGACCCGCGGCGCAUUAGCUAGUUGGUGAGGUAACGGCUCACCAAGGCAACGAUGCGUAGCCGACCUGAGAGGGUGAUCGGCCACACUGGGACUGAGACACGGCCCAGACUCCUACGGGAGGCAGCAGUAGGGAAUCUUCCGCAAUGGACGAAAGUCUGACGGAGCAACGCCGCGUGAGUGAUGAAGGUUUUCGGAUCGUAAAACUCUGUUGUUAGGGAAGAACAAGUACCGUUCGAAUAGGGCGGUACCUUGACGGUACCUAACCAGAAAGCCACGGCUAACUACGUGCCANCAUCC
rnacentral:rRNA from 1 species